rnacentral:rRNA from 1 species
UACGUAGGGUGCAAGCGUUGUCCGGAAUUAUUGGGCGUAAAGAGCUCGUAGGCGGUCUGUUACGUCGGCUGUGAAAACUUAGGGCUCAACCCUGGGCCUGCAGCCGAUACGGGCAGACUAGAAUUCGGUAGGGGAGACUGGAAUUCCUGGUGUAGCGGUGAAAUGCGCAGAUAUCAGGAGGAACACCGGUGGCGAAGGCGGGUCUCUGGGCCGAUAUUGACGCUGAGGAGCGAAAGCGUGGGGAGCGAACAGG